rnacentral:rRNA from 1 species
AACGAACGCUGGCGGCAGGCCUAACACAUGCAAGUCGAACGCCCCGCAAGGGGAGUGGCAGACGGGUGAGUAACACGUGGGAACGUACCCUUCGGUUCGGGAUAACUCAGGGAAACUUGAGCUAAUACCGGAUACGUCCGAGAGGAGAAAGAUUUAUCGCCGAGGGAUCGGCCCGCGUCUGAUUAGCUUGUUGGUGAGGUAACGGCUCACCAAGGCGACGAUCAGUAGCUGGUCUGAGAGGAUGAUCAGCCACAUUGGGACUGAGACACGGCCCAAACUCCUACGGGAGGCAGCAGUGGGGAAUAUUGGACAAUGGGCGCAAGCCUGAUCCAGCCAUGCCGCGUGAGUGAUGAAGGCCCUAGGGUUGUAAAG